GAUGAACGCUAGCGAUAGGCCUAACACAUGCAAGUCGAGGGGCAUCACAUGAAGUAGCAAUACGGAUGGUGGCGACCGGCGCACGGGUGAGUAACACGUAUGCAACCUGCCUUCAACAAGGGGAUAACCCGUUGAAAGACGGACUAAUACCCUAUAACACAGGGGUCCCGCAUGGGAAUAUUUGUUAAAGGACAACCGGUUGAAGAUGGGCAUGCGUUCCAUUAGCUAGUUGGCGGGGUAACGGCCCACCAAGGCAACGAUGGAUAGGGGAACUGAGAGGUUUAUCCCCCACACUGGUACUGAGACACGGACCAGACUCCUACGGGAGGCAGCAGUGAGGAAUAUUGGUCAAUGGACGCAAGUCUGAACCAGCCACGUCGCGUGAAGGAAGACGGCCCUACGGGUUGUAAACUUCUUUUAUACGGGAAUAAAGUGCCCCACGCGUGGGGUUUUGCAUGUACCGUAUGAAUAA
rnacentral:rRNA from 1 species